CAAACCAGAUGGGGGACGUUGAUGAUGGGUUCCUGACCGAGACCACACAAGGGGCCUGAAGGCGAGACACCCACCGUUGGGGGGCGCCACCAGCUGGACGGCCGCACAGAACUUCUGAACCAACUCCUGACUUGCCUGGCUGGCCGGUUCACCUCUUGUAAGAUUGAACAGUGACAGGAAGGAUCGCUACUCGGGAGUUAAUUCAAACCAGGAAGGAGGAGCUACUGGUGAGAGAGCGGAUGGGGACUUGGGAGUUUCAGAGUGCCUCGGUAUCCCUGUGUGGUUCCUGCCACCUGUCAGCAUCUCUGCGCGUGUCGUCUGCAUUGAAGUCUGUUCAUCAGCCUCUCCGGGGGUGAAGGUUAUCUCCUGGCACCUGACAGAUACCAGGGAGGGCAUAAACAGCUGGCCUUCUGGAGAUGACGAUCCAUUCCUCCACUGCUUGAAGGAGAAGAGAAGGAGCUGGGAUAGGCACAGCACCCACUACCUAUGGGGCAUGUUCUCAGUGCUCGUGUCCUUCAGCCCUUUCCCUACUCCACCAUUGUAGCUGUAUCCCGGGGCUAGAAGGAUGCCUGGCACAUAGUAGGUGCUCACAAAAUCAUUACUGGAUGUGCUGAUGAAGGUACAGGUACAGUCAGUGAACUGCAAAUGUGGGAUUGGAAUCUGAGACUCAGAAGGCAAGUUUUAAGUCUUCCACAUUGUCAUCACUCUGCUUACCCCCAAACCGAUACCUAGACAUGUACAUUUAUUGAGCCUCGACCGUGCGUCCAUCUCUGUUGUUGGUGUGUUUGUGAGCAACCGAGAUAAUGUUCUUUAUGUUCCUCUAGAACUUAAAUCAUUUUUCCUAAAAUAUUUUAAUGUUGAAUUUCUUUUAUCUAAUGGAUUUUAAUGUGGUUAUGCCUGCUGUGCAUGUCGGGUGGAGUUUUUACCCCUGUGUCCCCUUAAAGGUAACCCCCUGCCUGUACCCAUGUGUCUCAGAUCUCAUGGGGACACUUGCUACCUCUUGUGCCAUGAUGGCAGCCACUGCCCUGACCUACAACUUCAGGCACAGCUCAGGGCUGCCCAGCUCAUUUUCCUUAA